rnacentral:rRNA from 1 species
GAUGAACGCUGGCGGCGUGCCUAAUACAUGCAAGUCGAGCGAACGGACGAGAAGCUUGCUUUUCUGAUGUUAGCGGCGGACGGGUGAGUAACACGUGGAUAACCUACCUAUAAGACUGGGAUAACUUCGGGAAACCGGAGCUAAUACCGGAUAAUAUUUUGAACCGCAUGGUUCAAAAGUGAAAGACGGUCUUGCUGUCACUUAUAGAUGGUUCCGCGCUGCAUUAGCUAGUUGGUAAGGUAACGGCUUACCAAGGCAACGAUGCAUAGCCGACCUGAGAGGGUGAUCGGCCACACUGGAACUGAGACACGGUCCAGACUCCUACGGGAGGCAGCAGUAGGGAAUCUUCCGCAAUGGGCGAAAGCCUGACGGAGCAACGCCGCGUGAGUGAUGAAGGUCUUCGGAUCGUAAAACUCUGUUAUUAGGGAAGAACAUAUGUGUAAGUAACUGUGCACAUCUUGACGGUACCUAAUGAGAAAGCCACGGCUAACUACGUG